rnacentral:lncRNA from 1 species
UGUGGGACUAAGGGUUAAGCUCUUCCCUAUCAGAGCUGUCGGUCUCCUUCCGGUCUUUGUGUCUUUCUCCUUCCCUUAGACUUUAACUGGCACCCAUUUGUCUCUCAGUCUCUGCUCCCCCUUUCUGAGUAUUCUACUGAGCAGUGGGUGGACAGCUUCAAAGGGCCAAGGGUCAGGUGACUUGCCCAGCUAGGAAGUGUCUGAGCUUGGAAUCUGACCUUCUGCCUCUAGGCUUGGCACUAUCCUCAGAGCCAGCUGGAUGUUCCACAUAACUUUGUUUUUCUUAGCUACUCUUGGCCACGUUGUUCUUUUCCUCCUCGGAAGCUCUGCUUAGUCAUAGUUUGACUCUUGUAGCUUUACCUCUCAGACUUUACUUUAACCCAGAUUGCCUUGGUUUUUAGUUGUGUUGGUUGGUUUCUUUCUGGUUAACUCAUUUUUGCCCUCAAUUUGCCCUCUUAGAUGAGAUGGAUCUCAUUAGCUCUGUGGUCUGGAUCUCCCUGCCAUUGCUGAUUUGGGGGAAGCCCAGCCCUGACUGCCUGUCUCCUGGUGGUCCACUGCUGGGUCUGGCUUUGGUGCGCUCGCUAAGGCUCUCGCUAUCACUCUUGCUGUUUCUUGGAGACAUGGGGCUUUUGUGCGAUGGGAACUUGUGGCGGAGUGCUUAGCAUCUUGGCGGUUUGGCGUUUGCAGCUUGCCAGUAAGGUGAUUGGAAGAAGCUCUGUAGCAUGAGUUAGGUGAGGUAUCUUCCCUGAGCGUCCUUGGUGAGGUGACUGAUUCCUCCUUUCUUCCUUUCCUUGACCUCCAACUCCUAUCUGGCUUGCCAGAGCAGUAUAAUUUCCCUUUCCUCUCUCCUCUUCUUAAUUUCUUCCUUCUAUUGUUAUUAAAACCACCAUAAAAAUCCCAAACUGACUUGAGUAAUUUAUUGGGAUUGAAUUAAUCCCUGGCAACCACUAGUAUAAUAUAUUCAGUCAAUAAUCCCUAAAAUUUACCCCUUACAUGGUUUAAAAGAGAAAUGAGAAUUAUGAGAGCAGAAUUUAUGUCCUGUGAAGCAAAAAUAAUGGGUAAAACACAAAAAGUGUAAUGUACAAUGGCAGACCUCACUGAAGAAACAAAAGAGAGAAUAACAGACUGGGAAAACAGAUACAUAGAAGCAAAGGGAGGUAUAGAAGAAGAAAAGCAAAAAGCAAAAUUAAAAGAAAAUAUGGGGGCCAUGAGGUAGCUCAGUGGACAGAGAGUUAGGACUGGAGACAGGAUGUCCUAGGUUCAAAUCUGGCCUCAGACCCUUUCUAGCUAUGUGAUAUUGGGCAAGUCACGUAACCUCAUUUGCCUAGCCUUUAUUCUUCUGUCUUAGAACUAAUUCUUAGUAUCAAUUCUAAGACAGAAGGUAAGUGUUUAUUUUUUAAAAUGUUCACUAUGCAAGCAAAACAUAUUGAACUCAAAGAAAGGCUUUGCAGAGAAAACUUAAAGAUCAAAGAUAUGAGGACAAAAAAAAAAACACCACCAAAUUGAAAAAAAU